GACGAACGCUGGCGGCGUGCUUAACACAUGCAAGUCGAACGGAAAGGCCCCCAUCUUGGUGGGGGUGCUCGAGUGGCGAACGGGUGAGUAACACGUGGGUGAUCUGCCCUGUACUUCGGGAUAAGCUUGGGAAACUGGGUCUAAUACCGGAUGGGACCAUGGUUUAGUGUCUCAUGGUGGAAAGAUUAUUGUUUUGGUGCAGGAUGAGCUCGCGGCCUAUCAGCUUGUUGGUGGGGUAAUGGCCUACCAAGGCGUCGACGGGUAGCCGGCCUGAGAGGGUGGACGGCCACAUUGGGACUGAGAUACGGCCCAGACUCCUACGGGAGGCAGCAGUGGGGAAUAUUGCACAAUGGGCGCAAGCCUGAUGCAGCGACGCCGCGUGGGGGAUGACGGCCUUCGGGUUGUAAACUCCUUUCGUUAGGGACGAAGCCGCACUUUUUUUGGGUGUGGUGACGGUACCUUUGUUAAGAAGCACCGGCUAACUACGUG
rnacentral:rRNA from 1 species